rfam:Stegodyphus mimosarum contig15841, whole genome shotgun sequence.
GUCUUCAUGGUGUAGUGUUCAGCACGCUCGACGCGUAACCGAGAGGUCCGUGGUUCGAUUCCCGGCGAAGGCG